rfam:Gossypium raimondii Chr08_contig_1322, whole genome shotgun sequence.
UCUUAAAAAUUUUAUCCAUUUUUAUUGUUAAAAACUAGUGUAGAUGACUAAAUAAUCAGACAGUUACACAUGGCGUGUCACGGUAACUCUUGCUAAGGUAUAGUUGCCGAUUUUUAACAGUAAAAAUAAAUGAAAUUUUUAUCA